GUUAUGAAACAAGUGUUUACUCUGCUGAUUUCUUCAUCAACACAGUUUAGUUAUUAUCAUGAUCACUGAAUGUCUAUUAUGUAUAUGCAAGACAUUUGUAUUGCAUUCACUGAUUUGGCACAAACACUUGUUGCAGACCUUCAGGUAAGAUUAUUCCUCGAUGUAGCCUAAAGAUCGUGCUCAGAUAAUCCGGCCUUCAAUCUUUGUGUUGAAACCAUAUGAUACCAUCUUCUAUCCUAUAUAGUAGCGUAUUAUUGUUUUCACCACUGUUCUCUAUAUGUCCUUGUGUACUAUUAUAUAGUCAGAACUGGAAGGACAUGAUCAUUACACGUUUCUUACACUAGUUGCUUUACUGAAUGGCCUUUGUAUGAAUACAUUUCAUUAUGUCAUGUUUCUAACAAACUCUAACAAUUAAGAACUCGAUGCAGCAAUGGCUUGAAGAAUGGUUUUGUGCCAUGGAUUGGAGAGAUGCUCGAUCAGAUUGUCAAUAGGACCAACAUGAGUAACAGAAGCCUGGACGAAGAUACCAAGCAUAGCCACCAUAGCUAGCCGGCCUACAAAACAGAGGGAAGUAUAAAUAUUGGACAAAAAUUGAAAGAACUAAGAGAAUGAUGCAUAUUAACAAACCGUUUUUAAUCUCUUUCUGUUUCCAGUCUUUAGCAUUCUUGAUAUCUUUCGCAAUUCCAAGAGGAUUCAAUAAAGGACCACCGGGGUACCUACCAAAUGUCAAAGAUAAUCGGCACUGACAAGGGUAAGCCUUUCAAGUAUAAGGAUACCAUCUUUUGUCAAACAAAAAUAUGUAAUUUACCCUGGUUCAAGGCCUUCCAGUGCGGCUUCUAGUCCAAAAAAGGAUCCAGGUUUUGCUUGAGAGCCAGGAUUAAGAAAAUCCAUAAAUCUUUUUGUCUCAACAAACCUGUCACAAAUAAGAAAUCAGAUUGAAUAAUGAGCAGUAUAUAGAUUGUCCAGAAUCAACAUUCUGUUAGCAGGUCAAACAUUUUACCCCAUCAAUAAUAGUUGAAUAAUGAGCAGUGUUGUUGUGCUGGCAAAAUUAAAUUUUGUAGCUCCUGCUUCAUACCACACUGGCAAGUCCCUUAUUCCAGUCACACGAAGCAACUAAAAAGAAAAUCCCGAGAAUCACCAGAAAUGUUUAGCUACACUGUGAAGCCGUGAGAAAAAAUGUUGCAGAAGUAUUUAAUAACUUACAUCUGUUAAAAGAAUUCCAGCAACCCCAGCCAUGGCAAAGCGGGCAUGAACAAGUUCUGCUUGGACAUACCAUCUCAAACUUUCGGGAUCCUCUCCAAGUCCUAGUGGAUCAAAACCAAAAUCUCCAGCAAGACUAUAAGAGAAUUAAAAAGUAUGAUCAGCCGUUAAGUAGGAAGUUUCAUAUCUAAUAGCAUAUUGAAUAAUAUGAAUUGAUGAUUUCCUCGGGGUUCAAGGCUAAGAAUGAAGAAGCUCCCGAUGGGGAGGUAGAAUCAGAAUUNNNNNNNNNNNNNNNNNNNNNNNNNNNNNNNNNNNNNNNNNNNNNNNNNNNNNNNNNNNNNNNNNNNNNNNNNNNNNNNNNNNNNNNNNNNNNNNNNNNNNNNNNNNNNNNNNNNNNNNNNNNNNNNNNNNNNNNNNNNNNNNNNNNNNNNNNNNNNNNNNNNNNNNNNNNNNNNNNNNNNNNNNNNNNNNNNNNNNNNNNNNNNNNNNNNNNNNNNNNNNNNNNNNNNNNNNNNNNNNNNNNNNNNNNNNNNNNNNNNNNNNNNNNNNNNNNNNNAAAGAGGUACUACUGCAUGACAAACGCAAAAGUGAUGAUUCAUCAACCACGUGAAACUUCUGGUGGUAAAAUAAAUAUGUGCUCUCAUUAAAAUAUAUAUUUAUGUUUACAUUAUUAUAUUAACACAUGAAAAAUCUUUGAAAAUUAAUUUAAACCUUUACACUUUGUUAAAAAUUUCCGCAAUAAAUAAAAUUAUUUAAUUUUAAAAAUUAUACGUGUGAGGCACGUGCAGUUAAACUAGUUAUUAAUAUAUUCGUUUCUUGUUUUUUUUUUUUUUUUUUGGCGAUAAAGGAAGUUUCGUUCAUUACUAGCUAAGGUUAAAUGCUUCAGUACAUUCCGAGGGCAUAGUCCUAACUGGGGAAGGGUCCACCCUAACACUAAACUUACAAACUUGACCACUAAAAGUUGCAAUUAACCUUCUGAAGACAUAGAUCUAGCUGGGGAGGGGUCGACCCUAACACUACACAUAAACUUGUCUGCUAAUAUAAUUACAACCAUCUAGAGAUAAGGGCAUACAGCGCCCUACAGAAGAAGUUCCCGCCUUGUCUGCUUCCAACUGAUUUCGAACAAACAUGUCCUUAGAGAAAUUGAAUGAAAAAAAAAAAAUUAUUAGUCAUCCGUUGAGCAAAGAAGAAUGUCUUGACUCUUGAGGGAUAAUUUUUUUAUACUUUUGAUAUUUUUACAGAAAAAAAAACGUUCCACAUAUUCUUUUUUCUUUUCCUUUAUUUCCUUCUUUUUACUUUUAAUUCCUCUCGUCGUUUUGAAAAAAACAAAAAAAAGAGAAUUUCGUUAGCAUGUUAGAGGCAAAUUUAAGCAAAUUCAUCAACGAUAAAAACAUACUUAAAACCAACGGAGGAUAAAAUUAUUUUAUUUUCAUAAUGGAGUCAAUUUCCGUUUAAGAAAUAUACAUAAUGAAUUCACUAUUGAGAAGCAAAAGAUACAAGUACGUAAUAUGCAAUAAAAGGACAUGCAUUAUACAAUUAUAUAUUUAUACGACUCAAUUUGUUGGAUGUAUUAGCAGUAUGGCAGCAGAGAAUGGGUCAUACUACUCUACUUCCUUCCCAUAUCAAGGGAGAAACCCAAAUUCAUACAACUCGGGACUUUACUUCCUUAGUUUGAUACGAGAGACAAAAAAUAAUAAUUUUAAUAUAAAUACAUGAAUGAUUAUUAAAUGUUGUAUUUGGUUAGAGUACUAACAGUCUCAAAUAUAUGAUAAAAUAAUUAAUCCUCCAAAAUAUGUUAAUGCAUGAGAUAACUUUAUCUAUGUCGUCCCUACUAACGAGCAACACCCUCAACCAACCCUCAGUCCUCUACACCAAUUAAAGACUCAGGUGAUGAUAAUGACUUCCGCAAUGCAUGGACUGAUGGACAUAAUGCCAAUUUAAUUCUGUCGGCAGCAAAAAUAAAUUCAAUCAAAUUUGAAUUCUUAAAGUAAUAUUAUUGUUAAAACUUAACACACUUGCUCGAACUCCAGUUUAAGUGAAGUACUAUUAUUCUCACUUUAAUAUAUUUAAUUUUUAUUAAGUCUAUUAAAUUGUUUGAUUUGAUGUAUACACUUAAAAAUAUUUACCUUUGUCGUUGAAGCAAAAUUCGAGUUCCAAAUGCUAAAAUAAAAAGAAUUAUAUUCAAAGCCUAGUACAUGUGUUUACAAAUGGAGCCUCAGUAAUUUUGACACAUGGGGAAGUCAGUAUCACCAUGUCCUAUUUAAUUUGUUUGAAAAAUUGGUAAUUUGUGUGUCCAUACUGAACUACCAAAACCUAUUCAUUAAGAAAAAGACUUCAGAUGUUAUGAAAUGUGAACUGUUACAUUAAAUGAAUGAUGCUCAGUUGAUGUUACAGUUUAAUUAUAUAAUCUAAAAUGAUGUACUACUAAUCUUUAUUUGAAUUUCAUUAAUAUAUGCGGACGUCAAGCAUUGAAAAAUAUUCAAGACCUACGCAGAUCCUUCCACCCAAUCAGGAGUGGAAGGAACUUCAAGAUAUCGAGUUUAUCUGAACUCAAUAUUUUCGACAACAACAAUAACAUAUCCAAUAUAUAUUCCCACAAAGUGUCAUCUAGAACGGAUAGAAUAUAAGUAAUUCAUACCACUACCUCAAAAGGUGAGUAUAUUCCCACAACUCAAUAAUUUCGACGAGGAGUAUAAAUUAAAUAUAAAAAUGAACUAAAAUUGCUAAGUAGAUAUAAAUUCAUAUCUUUAAAAUAUUUAAUUAUAAAAGCCUUAGAUAUUGAACUCAGAAAAUUUAAAUUUUGAAAUCGCCUUUGCAUGCAACUUCUAGUCUCUUCUCCUCAGUUUCGUUGUGACCAUCUACAUCAAAGAUUUAUUGAGAUGGUUAAUUCGAUCGUUACUAAUAUCUUUAAUGUAAGAGCGUCAGAUCAUGGCCUUUUAAGUCAUGUCAAGAUUGUGAUAAAUACUUACGAGUAUAUGAUUUGUAGUAGAAAUAUACAACAUAAAAUCCUACAAAACUCACACUAUAUAAAUGGUGAAAGAUAAUUUGACAAAAACUAUCAAUGACCAAUUGAGUGCAUGAAAUUUUCUCCUAGUUGUUGGAGUCCAUCGAACAGUAGUUUGUAAAUGAUGGAGCAAACAAAAAUAAAAGAAGAAAAUGAUUUGUAAAUAGAUAAGGUGGCAUCAAGAUCAAAAUCUUUCUCAAUCAACCUGAUCAAAACUUGUAUGCAACACUUGUACCAAAUGCACAAGGUUUUGCAAACUCUUUUCUCAUCUAAGACCACAGCCAAUAUUCUACAACAAUAUAUUCGGUGUAAUCCCAAAAGUGGGAUCUUAGGAGGAUAGGCGUACACACAACUUAAUCCUACCCUAUUCCAAUAGACCCUCCACUACGAGAGCCAAUAUUCUGAAAUCAAGAAAAGAGGUUUUUGUUGAGUUCCAGAACCCAUUAAGCUUUGAAUUUGGUUUCAAAACCAGAUACCAGUGUUGUCAGUUUGGUCUGAGGUACUAAAUCAAAUAGUCCUGGGAUAAAAUUUUUAGUACACCGUUUGAUUGUCAAGGUCGGGAUAACUUAUUCCACCAUUUACACCAUAGUAAUGAGAUAAGUUAUCCCCAAUACAUUGUGGGAUAACUAAUCCCGGGAUAACCCUUUCCCAAUCAAACGGCUAGUGCACUCAUACCAUCAUAGUUUGGAAAGACCUUCACUCCACUAGAAUACAUCAGGAAACUGGAGAAUUAUCAUGAUAAAAUUUCAAUGUUUUCUAUUCCAUCACUCUCGGUAUUGCAAAACAUGUACAUUGAUCUGACAUUACAUAUGUAGUUUACUUAAUUUAAUUACAUAAUCAUGGUAAAGAACAUUAGUUUGGUGUAUACACCGGGUGCGUGUAAAUUUUUACCUUAGAUUACUUGGUUGUGAACAGCUAUUCUUGAGCAACAUUUAAACCACAUAUUCAGAAUUCAAACCAUAAAAUAUAUCAUGUACCUCACACAAAAGGCCAGCCAAAAGAGCAAUUUCGAGUUCAAUUAAACUAAAAUGGGAGAACUAUUUACCAAAAUUACCUCAUAAACGUAGUUGAGUCACAAUAAUCAGGCAUGUUUCUAACCAGUGACUAGAUAACAAGACAGCUCUAGUAGAGUCCCUGCCACAAAUGUUGUUGUCUAAACUACCCAAAAGUUUUUGGAACAAACCAAGCCAACUCUUUGUGUUAUACAAUGUAAUUAUAACUGUUAUAUAAUGUGUUUGUGUGCUUUGAUCAACUUAGAAGUCAUGCUCCGAAUGAUUUUGUUUUAGUUGUGCUGCUAGAUUUUGAUCUGUGGGACACUGCAUUUUUCUGCUGAUAUGUCCUUGUUAUGAAACAAGUGUUUACUCUGCUGAUUUCUUCAUCAACACAGUUUAGUUAUUAUCAUGAUCACUGAAUGUCUAUUAUGUAUAUGCAAGACAUUUGUAUUGCAUUCACUGAUUUGGCACAAACACUUGUUGCAGACCUUCAGGUAAGAUUAUUCCUCGAUGUAGCCUAAAGAUCGUGCUCAGAUAAUCCGGCCUUCAAUCUUUGUGUUGAAACCAUAUGAUACCAUCUUCUAUCCUAUAUAGUAGCGUAUUAUUGUUUUCACCACUGUUCUCUAUAUGUCCUU
rnacentral:lncRNA from 1 species